GACGGAGGGGGCUAGCGUUGUUCGGAAUUACUGGGCGUAAAGCGCACGUAGGCGGCCUUUCAAGUCAGAUGUGAAAGCCCCGGGCUUAACCCGGGAAUUGCAUUUGAUGCUGUUAGGCUUGAGACCGGGAGAGGAUAGCGGAAUUCCCAGUGUAGAGGUGAAAUUCGUAGAUAUUGGGAAGAACACCAGUGGCGAAGGCGGCUAUCUGGACCGGUACUGACGCUGAGGUGCGAAAGCGUGGGGAGCAAACAGG
rnacentral:rRNA from 1 species